GCGGGUGUAAUUCAGUGGUAGAAUGUCAUCUUCCCAUGUUGAUCGUCGUGGGUUCGAGUCCCAUCACCCGCU
rnacentral:tRNA from 3 species